ACGAACAGGCAGCCUUGAGUAGUUCCAGUAAGAACGCACAAGCCUAUAUUGGUAUUGGUAAGCGCUAAGAAUAUAUUGCCGCUGCACCAAGCAAGCUUAAGCUGGACCGCGAGUAGGACUCGGUUAGCCUGCAACUCAUCAACCCGUGGCUGUAGCUGCUGAAGAUCACGCAAUUAUCCCGGCUUUGGGAGAACGAGGCAGCUGGCGUUGUCCAAUCCAUCGUGCACAACCAUCAUCGACGGUUCAGUUGAACGGCAUCGAUUCAACGUAGACUUCCAAUUCACUUGGUCAAAGCUUGAUAUAUUAAGCAGAACAGAACAUAGCGCAAGAAGCCAAAUGAGUGGACACGCCGUGCGAUAGUAGUGUGGCAAGGGCUGUUGUCGAGGAAAAUAAGGAAAGCACUGAUGGGAAGAAAGCCUCUGGGAACGACGACGAACGCAAUGCGGAGGAAAACAAAGUCAGAACCUCACAUACAACUGUUCUCGAUUUAAACGAGGAUUGCUGGAUAGUGCUAAUGGAGUAUCUGGACGUAGAAGACCAGCUAAGGCUCGCAUUAUCGAACGUGAGUAUCGGAAACAUGUUCAGGAGAUAUUCAAGCCACCGGUACAAGCAUUGAAAAACACUCAACGAAGAUCUGAAAACGAGAUUUGAGCAGCGUAGAGAUGGAUGGGACGAUCUGAGCAGCCUGAUAGAGCUCAGCCUGAUAGCUUGUGUACGCAUUUUGUUUAAAAUAUCAAGAAAUUGAUCAACUGGAAUCUCUGGAUGGGUCUUUCUUGGAUGGAUUCGAUGCAAAGAGCUUGGUGGAUUGCUGCCAAUCGAUGAAACAAUUGUCCUCACAAAUUUGUGAAUAUGAAUAGCUUUUAUUUUUUAUUGAAGGUUUUAGAGAGAAUAAGUAGGCGCUUACUCAUUGGAAGGGGUGGCGAAGUUAUGGAAAUUUGACUUUUUCAUAUUGGCUAUAAUAAUAAUCCGAUCUCAUCUGCUCUCGAUUAGUAGAUAUGGUCAUUCUCUACGAAUUUCGGUUUUCUCAUAUCUUCCAAAUUUGGGAUGCCACACAUUUUUUUUCCCGAAUAUUGUAAAUACACCU
rnacentral:sRNA from 1 species